rnacentral:rRNA from 1 species
CUCUGAAGAGACUGCCGGUGUUAAACCGGAGGAAGGUGGGGAUGACGUCAAGUCCUCAUGGCCUUUAUGCCUAGGGCUGCACACGUCCUACAAUGCAACGUACAAAGCGACGCGAAAUCGCGAGAUCAAGCAAACCGCAUAAAACGUUGCCCAGUUCGGAUUGCAGGCUGAAAUUCGCCUGCAUGAAGCCGGAAUCGCUAGUAAUCGUAGGUCAGCAUACUACGGUGAAUGUGUUCCUGAGCCUU